rnacentral:lncRNA from 1 species
UGUAUGCGGUAUCGAUUGUGGGACCUUUCCCUACUGCUGUGACCAGCUUGUUGGAUCUUACAAGGCUGUAAGUGUCUUCCUUAAUUUAUGUUACAUUAGAUUUUGAUUCUGUAAAUAGCUUGAGAAGUAUGUGUUAUUGCCUGGUACAUAUGGUUUGUUGAAGUUUGAUGUCAGAGAGGACAAUAUGGAGAGUUAUAUGUGGAUGCUUUUAAUGUAGAUAUCCAGAAUUGCAAGGAUCUAAAUUGGUCUUCAAAUUCUAGCUUUCGUAGCGGAAUUGGAUUUCUGUCGUAUAACAGCAUAUUGAAAUAGUGAUGGACCUAUAAACUAGUUUAUGCGGUAUGAUGUAUAACUUUAUUUACUCUGAUGACUUUUUAUGUGCAUAAUUGAUCUAACACCCACACGCACACAGGAGGGUGGGGUUAAAUGGGUGUGAAUGAUAGGAAGCAUAGAGAUGACUAGAUUAGAGCAUAUAAGAUAAGCUAAGAUCUAGACUACCAAAUACCAAUGAGCAGGAUGAGUUACCAAGUGGGGGGGGGCUUCAAGAGAUUGAUAUAUGAUAGGUAGGUGGGUGGGAAUCAAGAGAAGUGGCAAUAGAAGGUUAUGAUAUACAUGUUAAUGUUAUGAUGAUGCACUGCUGGUUUGCUGUUAAUCUAUCUUUGAUUUUCUUUUUGUUCAUUUUAAAUUACAAUACUGAAUACAUGUAACAUCAAGUACUUCCAUUUUACUUCUCCCUUCCAAACUCUUAGUAAUAGAGGCACUGUGUGCUUUUGGCAGGGAUCUCCAUAAUAACAAGUUGACAGGGCCUAUUCCUCCUCAAAUUGGACGGUUGAAGCGUCUUAAAAUACUGUAUGAAUUUUCUAAUCCUUGUUUGAUUCUGGUUUGUUUGUCUUUAUAUUUUUUAUUUUACUUCUAUUUUGAUUUGAUGUAAUACAAGGGCAUAGGAAAAAUUUGCUUGUUAAUGAUUUGUGAAGAUUAUACUUUUUCCACUUCUUAUAUGUGAACAAUUGUUGAUCUUCUGUUCACUUUUGUUCUGUAAUUUGAAACUUGUGGUUUAUUGUUGGCCUUUAUUUCCUUCCAGCAAUUUGAGGUGGAACAAACUACAGGAUGCAAUUCCUCCAGAAAUUGGCGAGCUUAAAAGUUUAACACAUCUGUGCGUAACUUUUACUUUCCUGUUAACUUGAGGCUUGUUAGUCUUUCUUUCCCCAUUUUUUAGUUUUAUUUACAAUUAAUGUCAUAUCCUUAUGCAGGUACCUAAGCUUCAAUAGUUUCAAGGGAGUGUGUAUGCGUGGGUUGGUGAUGAUCCUUGUGGUGAUGGAGAUCUUCCUCCUUGGUCUGGUGUUACUUGUUCCACUGUCGGUGAUUAUCGUGUUGUCACUGAGCUGUGAGCUUCAUACCCCAACUUCUUCAAUUUGAUUUGUCUUUUCAUUUUCAAUCACAUUUUGUCUGGAAAUUUGAUUUUUAAGUCUAAGAUUUGUGGUCUGACAUUGGUAUUACUGGGAUUGUUAUCUUGUUGGCUGCAGUGAGGUGUAUGCGGUAUCGAUUGUGGGACCUUUCCCUACUGCUGUGACCAGCUUGUUGGAUCUUACAAGGCUGUAAGUGUCUUCCUUAAUUUAUGUUACAUUAGAUUUUGAUUCUGUAAAUAGCUUGAGAAGUAUGUGUUAUUGCCUGGUACAUAUGGUUUGUUGAAGUUUGAUGUCAGAGAGGACAAUAUGGAGAGUUAUAUGUGGAUGCUUUUAAUGUAGAUAUCCAGAAUUGCAAGGAUCUAAAUUGGUCUUCAAAUUCUAGCUUUCGUAGCGGAAUUGGAUUUCUGUCGUAUAACAGCAUAUUGAAAUAGUGAUGGACCUAUAAACUAGUUUAUGCGGUAUGAUGUAUAACUUUAUUUACUCUGAUGACUUUUUAUGUGCAUAAUUGAUCUAACACCCACACGCACACAGGAGGGUGGGGUUAAAUGGGUGUGAAUGAUAGGAAGCAUAGAGAUGACUAGAUUAGAGCAUAUAAGAUAAGCUAAGAUCUAG